rnacentral:rRNA from 1 species
GUAGGGAAUUUUCGGCAAUGGGCGAAAGCCUGACCGAGCAACGCCGCGUGAGGGAAGAAGGUCUUCGGAUCGUAAACCUUUGUCUUUGGGGAAGAUAAUGACGGUACCCAAGGAGGAAGCCACGGCUAACUACGUGCCAGCAGCCGCGGUAAUACGUAGGUGGCAAGCGUUGUCCGGAAUUACUGGGCGUAAAGGGCGUGUAGGCGGCCUUUUAAGUCAGACGUGAAAACUGUGGGCUUAACCCACCGACUGCGUUUGAGACUGAAAGGCUUGAGGAUCGGAGAGGGCAGUGGAAUUCCCAGUGUAGCGGUGAAAUGCGUAGAUAUUGGGAAGAACACCAGUGGCGAAGGCGGCUGCCUGGACGACACCUGACGCUGAGGCGCGAAAGCCAGGGGAGCAAACGGGAUUAGAAACCCGUGUAGUCC